UCCGGUUGAUCCUGCCAGAGGUUACUGCUAUCGGAGUUCGAGUAAGCCAUGCGAGUCUAAAGGUUUCUUCGGAAACCUUGGCGGACUGCUCAGUAACACGUGGAUAACCUACCCUUAGGACUGGAAUAACCCCGGGAAACUGGGGAUAAUACCGGAUAGAUCAGGGAUGCUGGAAUGCACCUUGAUCCAAAGCCCCGGCGCCUAAGGAUGGGUCUGCGGCCUAUCAGGUUGUAGUGGGUGUAACGUACCUACUAGCCAACGACGGGUACGGGUUGUGAGAGCAAGAGCCCGGAGAUGGAUUCUGAGACACGAAUCCAGGCCCUACGGGGUGCAGCAGGCGCGGAACCUUUACAAUGUGCGAAAGCAUGAUAAGGGGACUCCGAGUGCCAGCAUCUAAUGCUGGCUGUCCUUGUGCCUAAAAAGCACAAGAUAGCAAGGGCCGGGUAAGACCGGUGCCAGCCGCCGCGGUAACACCGGCGGCCCGAGUGGUAGCCGCUAUUAUUGGGUCUAAAGGGUCCGUAGCCGGUUCGGUAAGUCCUUUGGGAAAUCUGGUUGCUUAACAAUCAGACUGCCAAGGGAUACUGCUGAACUUGAGACCGGGAGAGGUAAGAGGUACUUCAGGGGUAGGAGUGAAAUCUUGUGAUCCCUGGGGGACCAUCUGUGGCGAAGGCGUCUUACCAGAACGGGUCUGACGGUGAGGGACGAAAGCUGGGGGCGCAAACCGGAUUAGAUACCCGGGUAGUCCCAGCCGUAAACGAUGCUCGCUCUGUGUCAGGUACGGUGCGACCGUAUCUGGUGCCGUAGGGAAGCCGUGAAGCGAGCCACCUGGGAAGUACGGUCGCAAGACUGAAACACUUAAAGGAAUUGGCGGGGGAGCACUACAACGGGUGGAGCCUGCGGUUUAAUUGGCAUUCACACGCCGGG
rnacentral:rRNA from 1 species